rnacentral:rRNA from 1 species
GAUUGUUCUCGUAGCUUGCUAUGAGAACAAUUAGUGGCAGACGGGUGAGUAAUGCAUAGGAAUCUACCUAGUAGUAUAGGAUAGCCACUAGAAGUGGUGGGUAAUACUGUAUAAUCCCUGCGGGGGAAAGAUUUAUCGCUACAUGAUGAGCCUAUGUUAGAUUAGCUAGUUGGUGGGGUAAUGGCCUACCAAGGCAGUGAUCUAUAGCUGGUCUGAGAGGAUGAUCAGCCACACUGGAACUGAGACACGGUCCAGACUCCUACGGGAGGCAGCAGUGGGGAAUAUUGGACAAUGGGCGCAAGCCUGAUCCAGCUAUGCCGCGUGAGUGAGGAAGGCCUUAGGGUUGUAAAACUCUUUCAGUGGGGAAGAUAAUGACGGUACCCACAGAAGAAGUCCCGGCAAACUC